UACGGAGGGUGCAAGCGUUGUCCGGAAUCACUGGGCGUAAAGGGCGCGUAGGCGGCUCAUGAAGGCUGUGGUGAAAGUCCGGGGCUCAACCUCGGAUCGGCCGUGGCGACUCGUGGGCUGGAGCACUGUAGAGGCGGGUGGAAUUCCGGGUGUAGCGGUGGAAUGCGUAGAGAUCGGAAGGAAGGCCAGUGGCGAAGGCGAGUUCCUGGACAGUGACUGACGCUGAGGCACGAAGGCCAGGGGAGCAAACGGG
rnacentral:rRNA from 1 species